UUUUUAUUGAGAGUUUGAUCCUGGCUCAGGACGAACGCUGGCGGUAUGCUUAACACAUGCAAGUCGAACGAGAAGGUUUUGAAUGAUCCUUCGGGUGAAAUUAGAACUGGAAAGUGGCGAACGGGUGAGUAACGCGUGGGUAACCUGCCCUAUGGAAAGGAAUAGCCUCGGGAAACUGGGAGUAAAGCCUUAUAUUAUGGUUUUGUCGCAUGGCAAGAUCAUGAAAACUCCGGUGCCAUAGGAUGGACCCGCGUCCCAUUAGCUAGUUGGUGAGAUAACAGCCCACCAAGGCGACGAU
rnacentral:rRNA from 1 species